CUCUUCUCAAUGAGCUCCUUUCUGCCGCUGGUGGCAGCUGUUGGAUUCGCACGAGAAGAAGAGCCAGAGUCCCAGGCGAGCCCUGUGAGCUUCCCUUCUGCCAGUGGGGGUUAGUUCCGCUGCCUGUGAGACAUUU
rnacentral:snoRNA from 1 species